CUGCCAAUUGGAUUCUUCAAACAAUAAAAAGAAUUUGACAGAUGGCAGCUACAUAAUACUAUUGAAGCAAAAAAAAGUACCGGUAGUUAUUUUGCAGAUUUAAGGUCAAUUCAGAUACUCAUAAUAAUAUUUGAACUGCAGGUAUGACAAGUCUUACACUAUUACAAUUCAGCACAGAGCGAUACUCGAGAACAAGGAUUUUCAACUUGUUUCAGUCCUUUAUGAGCACCAUGAGUGUACACAGAUGCCCUCUAUCAGAUUUUUCUUCUUAUUAUUGCUUGAAUAGACCAAUUGAUGGUGCAUGUGAUGGCAUCUUUUUUUGUGAUGUCUCACAAUCCAUGGGUGAU
rnacentral:lncRNA from 1 species